GUCUAUGGCCCUACCACUCUGGAUGUACCCUAUCUUGUCUGGUCUUGAAAGCUAAGCAGGGUUGGGCCUGAUUAGUACUUGGAUGAAAGACAGAUACUCAAAAGAGACUGCUCAGAGACAGUUUGGAGACAAAGGGG
rnacentral:rRNA from 1 species